rnacentral:lncRNA from 1 species
CUGGUAUGGAUAAAUAUAGUACAAAACAAAGCCUCAACCACUUUCCUAUAUCUUGUGCUAUAUAUUACCAUACGUUUGACGGAUAGUUCAAGCAUCAAUAUUAUGGUAUAUCUGGAGGUGGAGGCAAUAUCUUAGCAUCUGAGCUCUUGCCAUUUUUAACAACGAACAGUUGUGCGGAGAUAUGAAAAUUUCGAGAAAUGGCUCUACAACAAUACAAUUCGAGCCAAAUAAGGUACAUGGCGUUUUUAGUAAAUUUGUUUAUCUUAUGUCCUGUCACUUAUGGACAAACUUAAAGAUGUAAAUUUUGUAUGUUGUAGGGGUUUGGACUAUGAAUUGUCAUUUUGAGCGUCACAAAUCUUGCGGACAGGGAAUCAUUUUCAUUGUUAAAAAUGACAAGAUCUCAUAUGCUAAAAUGUUGCCUCCGCUUCAAGAUAUGCCUUGGUGUUGAUACUGGACCAACAAUCAAAUCUAGUCUAUGGGAGAUGUUGGAAAUUAUUCGAAGAUCUCAUUUAAUUUGUUAUCUAUUUAAAUUUAUUAUUUAUGGACAUUUUAGUUUGUAAGAUCACCUUAUAGAAGUUCAUUUGUUGAAUAGCUAGCCUUUUCCCAUAAAUUAAUGUGUGCAAUUUUUUUUUUAGUAAAUUAGAUAGCUAAUCAAACAAAUUCAGAUUAACUACGGCAAAGACGAAGCUUCAUAUAUAGGACCUUAAAAAUACCCUCCAAUCAUUAUCCAUCAUAUGGUAGGGUCCUAUAGUAAGGAUUAUAACAGUCUUCAGCUUGUUCGACGAAGCCCAACAAAAGACUUGUAAUAAACAAAAAUGACAACACUACUUGUACAUAUUUUUUAGUACAUUGAGGUAUCCAUACACUCACAUGAGGUGGAGCCCGCUCGAAUAUUUAUUCGAG